rnacentral:rRNA from 1 species
AUUGAACGCUGGCGGCAGGCCUAACACAUGCAAGUCGAACGGUAACAGGAAGAAGCUUGCUUCUUUGCUGACGAGUGGCGGACGGGUGAGUAAUGUCUGGGAAACUGCCUGAUGGAGGGGGAUAACUACUGGAAACGGUAGCUAAUACCGCAUAACGUCGCAAGACCAAAAAGGGGGACCUUCGGGCCUCUUGCCAUCGGAUGUGCCCAGAUGGGAUUAGCUAGUAGGUGGGGUAACGGCUCACCUAGGCGACGAUCCCUAGCUGGUCUGAGAGGAUGACCAGCCACACUGGAACUGAGACACGGUCCAGACUCCUACGGGAGGCAGCAGUGGGGAAUAUUGCACAAUGAGCGCAAGCCUGAUGCAGCCAUGCCGCGUGUAUGAAGAAGGCCUUCGGGUUGUAAAGUACUUUCAGCGGGGAGGAAGGGAGUAAAGUUAAUACCUUUGCUCAUUGACGUUACCCGCAGAAGAAGCACCGGCUAACUCCGUG